rnacentral:rRNA from 1 species
AUUGAACGCUGGCGGCAGGCCUAACACAUGCAAGUCGAGCGGGGUUUUCGGACCUAGCGGCGGACGGGUGAGUAAUGCGUAGGAAGCUACCCGAUAGAGGGGGAUACCAGUUGGAAACGACUGUUAAUACCGCAUAAUGUCUACGGACCAAAGUGUGGGACCUUCGGGCCACAUGCUAUCGGAUGCGCCUACGUGGGAUUAGCUAGUUGGUGAGGUAAUGGCUCACCAAGGCGACGAUCCCUAGCUGGUUUGAGAGGAUGAUCAGCCACACUGGAACUGAGACACGGUCGAGACUCCUACGGGAGGCAGCAGUGGGGAAUAUUGGACAAUGGGCGCAAGCCUGAUCCGGCCAUGCCGCGUGUGUGAAGAAGGCCUUCGGGUUGUAAAGCACUUUCAGUAGGGAGGAAGCGUUGUGUGUUAAUAGUACACAGCGUUGACGUUACCUACAGAAGAAGCACCGGCUAACUCUGUGCCAGCCGCCGCCGUAACAC